CGCACAUUGCGCCCUUUGGUAUUCCUUAGGGCAUGCCUGUUCGAGCGUCAUCAACGACUCAAGCGCUGCUUGGUGUUGGGCGUCUUGUCCCGCCCCGGCUGGGACUCGCCUCAAAGACAUUGGCGGCCUGCACUAUUGGCUUCGAGCGCAGCAGACUCGCGCCUCGGUCUCUGUGCAGGCGUCCACAAGACACCCAAGUUUGACCUCGGAUCAGGUAGGGAUACCCGCUGAACUUAA
rnacentral:misc_RNA from 1 species